rnacentral:rRNA from 1 species
CCUACGGGAGGCUGCAGUGAGGAAUAUUGGUCAAUGGGAGGAAUCCUGAACCAGCCAAGCCGCGUGAGGGAAGACGGCCCUAUGGGUUGUAAACCUCUUUUGUCGGAGAACAAAACCCGGGUCGUGUCCCGGACUGCGUGUAUCCGAAGAAAAAGCAUCGGCUAACUCUGUGCCCGCAGCCGCGGUAAUACGGAGGAUGCGAGCGUUAUCCGGAUUUAUUGGGUUUAAAGGGUGCGUAGGCGGUCCGUUAAGUCAGCGGUAAAAUUGCGGGGCUCAACCCCGUCGAGCCGUUGAAACUGGCAGACUGGAGUUGGCUAGAAGUACGCGGAAGGCGCGGUGUAGCGGUGAAAUGCAUAGAUAUCGCGCAGAACGCCGAUUGCGAAGGCAGCGUACCGGCGCCAGACUGACGCUGAGGCACGAAAGCGUGGGGAUCGAACAGGAUGAGAUACCCCAGUAGUC